rnacentral:lncRNA from 1 species
AGGGAAUAUGGCUCAUUUAUUUGCUGAGUGGGACUGGAGGCCCAUAGCCGCAGAAGAUCCUGGCCCCACAGCAGCAGAGAGCAAGCUCAGAGUGCUGUCAGGUCUCUCCUGCUGCCUCUCGCCAUGAUGAUGUAGUGGAAAAAUGGUCAACAAAGCUAUUUCCUACUGUGUGCUAAAUGCCCAUCAUGGGAAGUCCCAGGAACAAGAAGAUCAUGGGUGAGGCAGCUGCUCAGAAACAAAUGUCUUUCAACAAUUACCCCCAGGCAUGGGUGAUACAUCCUCUUCGCAGACAGCAGAAAAACAUCAGAUUUGUGAUUUAAUUGGGAGUUUUCUGGGAUCGAACAGUGGCUUCGUUUACAGGUGGAAGUGGAGAAUCAGCCUGAAAGGGGACAAACAAAUCAAGAGAAUGUAUGUAUUCCUCCUGAAAGUGGUCAUUAGGGGGCAGUGGGGAAAGGAGCAUUUCAGUUUGCAACAUUCCUGAUUAGCAUUAGGCAGACAUGAUUCUGCUGGAAGAAAUACUCAUGGGACACUAAUCCUACUUAGAGGGUUAACAUAUUGCUUGAUCAGAAACAUAUGCAAUAAUGAAAAGUUUCAGGAAUUCCUUUUCCUAGGGGUGUGUGUGUGUGUGUGUGUUUAUUUAAAGACCAGAGAUAGGCUCUUCACAUUUAAAUAGAUUGCUGACUAGUUAUUUAGGCAAGCUAGGAAUAUCUAAGGACAUCUCAACCAUCUGAGUUGACACAAUGGAAAAUGACCUGGCUCUUUAGGAGACCAGACUCUGACAGCACUGUCAGUAGAAGGACCACUGCUAGAGCAGAGAGGCAGUACUCCUACACGGGUUUUUUUUUUUUUUUUUUUGAGACGGAGUCUCACUCUGUCACCAGGCUGGAGUGCAGUGGUGCAAUCUCGGCUCACUGCAACCUCUGCCUCCCAGGUUCAAGUGAUUCUCCUGCCUUAGCCUCCCGAGCAGCUAGGACUACAGGCGCGCACCACCACGCCCAGCUAAUUUUUGUAUUUUUAGUAGAGGUGGAAUUUCACCAUGUUGGCCAGGAUGGUCUCGAUCUCUUGAUCCAUCCACCUCGGCCUCCCAAAGUGCUGGGAUUACAGGCGUGAGCCACCGUGACCGGCCUCCUACAUGAUGUUUUCUAGAGCACUGGCUCACAGGCUAUCUUCUGCUCUCUCACACAUGACGGGUGAUGCUCAUUGGCACAGUCUCUGGCAGCCUAGCCCUAAUUCCACCUAUUCCAUUCAGGAAAUCUAUCAGAAUUUGAGCGAGAGUAAUAUAAUUAUAGGGAUAACUUCGAAUACAUUAGAAAGGUGAGUCACAAACUAGUUACAAAUUAGUUGUGGUAUACCUGUCAACUCAUUCUGAUAUUCUAGUGUGCUAUAAAACCAGCAUUCAGACAUUCUGCUCUAGAGAGCAAUGGGUGGUUUUUCAACUGAGUCAAGAUUCUUUGUUUACUAAUACUGUUUAGAAGCAGAAUUUUUUUCUCCUAAUGAGUAUUUCUUAGACCAUUACUCCUGCUAUAAAGGAAAUACAUCUGGCUCAAGUCAGAAUGAGCAGCAUCACUCUUGUUCUACUCGAACAAAUGUCACCAAAGCAGCUUUUUAUUAAAGUAGCAUAAUCCUCCUUAGCUCCUCGAGGGAAUUACAGAUUCAUAGAAUGUUACAGCUGGAAAGGGCUUUACAGCAUCUAGAAAAAUGUCCUCAUUUCAUAAAUGAGAAAAUCUAGCCUAGAGAAGUAAAAAGACUCACCCUUGAUUACAAAGCCAGUAAUAAGCAGACUCAGGAAGCGUACAAGGUCUUAAUGAGUCAGUCUAGUACAAACUACACCAUAAUCUAGUAAGAAAGGAAGAAGAGGGAUCGCAGAUUGAAGGGAUAGGAAAUUGUGAUCUUUAGGAAGUUCAAAGUGAAAAUGAUCAGAGGCUGACAUAGUAAAGACAUAAAAAGGUGUGGCAGUACUAAACAGCUCAAGAAGUGCUGCUGCCCAUGGGAGAACACUUAGGAUUGAAAAUAAGUAUGAAUAAAUGCUCAACUUUCUGGCAAAAAGUUGAGAAAUUAUGUGAGUUUGGAACCCUUGAACCAGGACUUAAAAAUAGAUAUUUUUAUUUAAGUGGCUGAAAUUAUCUAGUGAGUAAUAUUGGAUUUAGAAGAGAGAACUGGACAGGAAGUGUAAGGAAAUCUGAAAGCACAAAGAAAGAAUUACAUUGCAUUAGAGUGUGAAGUUAUUUACCUAAAGCUCUUUGGUAUCAGAAAUUCAAGAAAAUUUUUGGCUUAAUCACUUGUAUAAAAUAAGGACCGGCCGGGCUCGGUGGCUCACGCCUGUAAUCCCAGCACUCUAGGAGGCCGAGGCGGGUGGAUCACCUGAGGUCAGGAGUUCGAGGCCAGCCUGACCAACAUGGAGAAACCCCGUCUCUACUAAAAAUACAAAUAAAAUUAGCCGGGCAUGGUGGUGCAUGCCUGUAAUCCCAGGUACUUGGGAGGCUGAGGCAGAAGAAGGGCUUGAACUCGGGAGGCAGAGGUUGCAGUGAGCCGAGAUUGUGCCACUGCACUCCAGUCUGGGUGACAGAGCGAGACUCCGUCUCAAAAAAAAAAAAAUAAGGACCACUACAAGGCUUUACAGUAUAAGAAUUUUGGGGCCAGGCAAGUGGCUCAUGCCUGUAAUCCCAGCACUUUGGGAGGCCAAGGCAAGCAGAUCACCUGAGGUCAGGAGUUCAAGACCAGCCUGGCCAACAUGGUGAAACCCCAUCUCUACUAAAAAUAUCAAAAAAAAAAAAAAAAAAAAAGCUGGAAAUGGUGGUGUGCCUGUAAUCCCAGCUACUUGGGAGGCUGAGGCAAGAGAAUUGCUUGAACCUGGGAGGCGGAGGUUGCAGUAAGCCAAGAUCAUGCCACUGCGCUCCAGCCUGGGUGACCGAGAGGGACUCCAUCUCAAAUAAUAAUAAAGAAAAAAGAAUGUUUGCAUGUUCUUCUACUCCCAAGAGCACUCUUCCCUUCUUAAGAUAUACUGCACAUUGGUAAAAGAUUAAAAACAAAACAAA